GAUGAACGCUGGCGGCGUGCCUAAUACAUGCAAGUCGAGCGAACGGACGAGAAGCUUGCUUCUCUGAUGUUAGCGGCGGACGGGUGAGUAACACGUGGAUAACCUACCUAUAAGACUGGGAUAACUUCGGGAAACCGGAGCUAAUACCGGAUGAUAUUUUGAACCGCAUGGUUCAAAAGUGAAAGACGGUCUUGCUGUCACUUAUAGAUGGAUCCGCGCUGCAUUAGCUAGUUGGUAAGGUAACGGCUUACCAAGGCAACGAUGCAUAGCCGACCUGAGAGGGUGAUCGGCCACACUGGAACUGAGACACGGUCCAGACUCCUACGAGAGGCAGCAGUAGGGAAUCUUCCGCAAUGGGCGAAAGCCUGACGGAGCAACGCCGCGUGAGUGAUGAAGGUCUUCGGAUCGUAAAACUCUGUUAUUAGGGAAGAACAUAUGUGUAAGUAACUGUGCACAUCUUGGCGGUACCUAAUCAGAAAGCCACGGCUAACUACGUG
rnacentral:rRNA from 1 species